UACGUAGGUGGCAAGCGUUGUCCGGAUUUACUGGGUGUAAAGGGCGAGUAGGCGGGACGGAAAGUCAGUAGUGAAAUACCGAGGCUUAACUUCGGGGCUGCUAUUGAAACUUCUGUUCUUGAGUGAUGGAGAGGCAGGCGGAAUUCCCGGUGUAGCGGUGAAAUGCGUAGAGAUCGGGAGGAACACCAGUGGCGAAGGCGGCCUGCUGGACAUUAACUGACGCUGAGGCGCGAAAGCGUGGGGAGCAAACAGGAUUAGAUACC
rnacentral:rRNA from 1 species